AGAGUUUGAUCAUGGCUCAGAACGAACGCUGGCGGCAGGCUUAACACAUGCAAGUCGAACGCGUGUAGCAAUACACGAGUGGCGCACGGGUGAGUAACGCGUGGGAUGUCUGCCUUUUUGGUUCAGAAAUAACCCCGGGAAACUGGGGCUAAUACCGGAUGGUUCCUUCGGGAUAAAGAUUUAUCGCCAAAAGAUGAGUCCGCGUCCGAUUAGCUAGUUGGUGAGGUAAUGGCUCACCAAGGCGACGAUCGGUAGCUGGUCUGAGAGGACGAUCAGCCACACUGGGACUGAGACACGGCACAGACUCCUACGGGAGGCAGCAGUGGGGAAUAUUGGACAAUGGGGGCAACCCUGAUCCAGCCAUGCCGCGUGAGUGAUGAAGGCCUUCGGGGUUGUAAAGCUCUUUUGGCGGGGACGAUGAUGACGGUACCCGCAGAAUAAGCCCCGGCUAACUUCGUGCCAGCAGCCGCGGUAAGACGAAGGGGGCUAGCGUUGUUCGGAAUUACUGGGCGUAAAGCGAGUGUAGGUGGUUUUCCAAGUUGGAUGUGAAAGCCUUGAGCUCAACUCAAGAAAUG
rnacentral:rRNA from 1 species